UUUCGAAUCAUUCACAAUGGGCGAAACCCUGAUGGUGCGACGCCGCGUGGGGGAUGAAGGUCCUCGGAUUGUAAACCCCUGUCACCUGGGACUAAACCCCGGCGAAGAGCCGGGCUGAAUUAACCAGGAGAGGAAGCAGUGGCUAACUCUGUGCCAGCAGCCGCGGUAAUACAGAGACUGCAAGCGUUACUCGGAUUCACUGGGCGUAAAGGGAGCGCAGGCGGGCAGGUGUGUCGGGCGUGAAAUCCCGGGGCUUAACUCCAGAACUGCACCCGAAACUACCCGUCUAGAGGAUUGGAGAGGCGGGCGGAAUUCCAGGUGUAGCGGUGAAAUGCGUAGAUAUCUGGAGGAACACCGACGGCGAAGGCAACCCGCUGGACAAAUCCUGACGCUCAGGCUCGAAAGUAUGGGGAGCAAAAGGGAUUAGAUACCCCCGUAGUCC
rnacentral:rRNA from 1 species